AACGAACGCUGGCGGCAUGCCUAACACAUGCAAGUCGAACGAAGGCUUCGGCCUUAGUGGCGCACGGGUGCGUAACGCGUGGGAAUCUGCCCCUCGUUCCGGAAUAACAGUUAGAAAUGACUGCUAAUACCGGAUGAUGACUUCGGUCCAAAGAUUUAUCGCCGAGGGAUGAGCCCGCGUAAGAUUAGGUAGUUGGUGGGGUAAAGGCCUACCAAGCCGACGAUCUUUAGCUGGUCUGAGAGGAUGAUCAGCCACACUGGGACUGAGACACGGCCCAGACUCCUACGGGAGGCAGCAGUGGGGAAUAUUGGACAAUGGGCGAAAGCCUGAUCCAGCAAUGCCGCGUGAGUGAUGAAGGCCUUAGGGUUGUAAAGCUCUUUUACCAGGGAUGAUAAUGACAGUACCUGGAGAAUAAGCUCCGGCUAACUCCGUGCCAGCCGCCGCUGUAA
rnacentral:rRNA from 1 species